rnacentral:rRNA from 1 species
AGAGGGAAACAACCCAGACCGCCAGCUAAGGUCCCAAAGUCAUGGUUAAGUGGGAAACGAUGUGGGAAGGCCCAGACAGCCAGGAUGUUGGCUUAGAAGCAGCCAUCAUUUAAAGAAAGCGUAAUAGCUCACUGGUCGAGUCGGCCUGCGCGGAAGAUGUAACGGGGCUAAACCAUGCACCGAAGCUGCGGCAGCGACACUGUGUGUUGUUGGGUAGGGGAGCGUUCUGUAAGCCUGUGAAGGUGUGUCGUGAGGCAUGCUGGAGGUAUCAGAAGUGCGAAUGCUGACAUAAGUAACGAUAAAGCGGGUGAAAAGCCCGCUCGCCGGAAGACCAAGGGUUCCUGUCCAACGUUAAUCGGGGCAGGGUGAGUCGACCCCUAAGGCGAGGCCGAAAGGCGUAGUCGAUGGGAAACGGGUUAAUAUUCCCGUACUUGGUGUUACUGCGAAGGGGGGACGGAGAAGGCUAUGUUGGCCGGGCGACGGUUGUCCCGGUUUAAGCGUGUAGGUGUGUGUUCCAGGUAAAUCCGGUUCACUUUAACACUGAGGCGUGACGACGAGGCACUACGGUGCUGAAGCAACAAAUGCCCUGCUUCCAGGAAAAGCCUCUAAGCAUCAGGUAACAUCAAAUCGUACCCCAAACCGACACAGGUGGUCAGGUAGAGAAUACCAAGGCGCUUGAGAGAACUCGGGUGAAGGAACUAGGCAAAAUGGUGCCGUAACUUCGGGAGAAGGCACGCUGACACGUAGGUGAAGUGAUUUACUCAUGGAGCUGAAGUCAGUCGAAGAUACCAGCUGGCUGCAACUGUUUAUUAAAAACACAGCACUGUGCAAACACGAAAGUGGACGUAUACGGUGUGACGCCUGCCCGGUGCCGGAAGGUUAAUUGAUGGGGUCAGCGCAAGCGAAGCUCCUGAUCGAAGCCCCGGUAAACGGCGGCCGUAACUAUAACGGUCCUAAGGUAGCGAAAUUCCUUGUCGGGUAAGUUCCGACCUGCACGAAUGGCGUAAUGAUGGCCAGGCUGUCUCCACCCGAGACUCAGUGAAAUUGAACUCGCUGUGAAGAUGCAGUGUACCCGCGGCAAGACGGAAAGACCCCGUGAACCUUUACUAUAGCUUGACACUGAACAUUGAGCCUUGAUGUGUAGGAUAGGUGGGAGGCUUUGAAGUGUGGACGCCAGUCUGCAUGGAGCCGACCUUGAAAUACCACCCUUUAAUGUUUGAUGUUCUAACGUGGACCCGUUACCCGGGUUGCGGACAGUGUCUGGUGGGUAGUUUGACUGGGGCGGUCUCCUCCUAAAGAGUAACGGAGGAGCACGAAGGUUGGCUAAUCCUGGUCGGACAUCAGGAGGUUAGUGCAAUGGCAUAAGCCAGCUUGACUGCGAGCGUGACGGCGCGAGCAGGUGCGAAAGCAGGUCAUAGUGAUCCGGUGGUUCUGAAUGGAAGGGCCAUCGCUCAACGGAUAAAAGGUACUCCGGGGAUAACAGGCUGAUACCGCCCAAGAGUUCAUAUCGACGGCGGUGUUUGGCACCUCGAUGUCGGCUCAUCACAUCCUGGGGCUGAAGUAGGUCCCAAGGGUAUGGCUGUUCGCCAUUUAAAGUGGUACGCGAGCUGGGUUUAGAACGUCGUGAGACAGUUCGGUCCCUAUCUGCCGUGGGCGCUGGAGAACUGAGGGGGGCUGCUCCUAGUACGAGAGGACCGGAGUGGACGCAUCACUGGUGUUCGGGUUGUCAUGCCAAUGGCACUGCCCGGUAGCUAAAUGCGGAAGAGAUAAGUGCUGAAAGCAUCUAAGCACGAAACUUGCCCCGA